AAGAUUAAUUAAACUCUAUUACAUACAGAAUCUUAUUUAGAAAUUAACAGCAGAGUGCAAGAAAGACGUUUGCAACAUUGAAGCUUGUUUUACUAAUUAAAACUAAUUAAUACAGUGAUGUAUAUACGGUGAUGUAUAUAUUGUAGCAAUCCUUGUCUUAUUGCGCGACUGUCAAGUGCGACUUUGCGUGGCGGUGUGUCAUCCGUCAUCUCUCUCCACUUAUCCUCGCUCGUUUUUCUUACUCGUUACUAUUCUGCGGAUCGUGGCCGCGGAAAUUGCAUCGGUCCGAAACCUCAUUCGUGGUCGUCGUCGUCACACACGCCACAGGUCGGCGAUAAAGCCACUAUACUCGGACGACUCGAAACAUACGAAUAUAACAAAACACGUCGUUGCGCGACUACGGAAAAGUGCUGCCGAUGCGAAUUUAAAUGGACCUUGCUGAAUUUAGAUUUAAUCGGAGGUCGUGAGCAUAAAAGAAAGACAUUUGCUGACAACUUGUACCGUAUGCUUGAUACGCAACGUUGUCAAGCAUGCGAGGUGCCGAAAAGCCUCUGAGAAACUCUGAAAGACGUAGAACCUCUGAACUUCGUCACGACAUUUAAGUUUAUAGCGACAAUGAAGAGUGUUUCGUAGGAAACUGCGCGCACUUCAACGCCAAUAUGGCGAGGCAAGUUUACCACUUCAGAAAUUGCCAAGGUGCAAGCGUUUGCAUAACGAUCUUCUUAUGUCGAAGCGAAGUAAACGACUUCUAUGACGAUAGGUACUAAGAAUCUCAUCAUUCCGAACCGCAAUGCAUUUCCAUGCAAUCGUAAAACACCACUCUUCACAUGUAAAUAACACGACCACUCAGAGAAGACGCAGAAGGGUUCUAUCGACGAUCGGUGGCGUUGGCAAUUUCUGUUUUUAUCGUCCAUCAACUCACCGGAAUCGUCGAUCUAUAAGAGAUGCUGGACGUCAGGAUGCCCGAGGAUGAAACACCCCCGUAAUCAUUGAGGUAUCUUAGCGACGUCGUGCGCCAAGUAUUUAUAUAAGAGGACAACACGGAAAUACAUCGGCUGUCUUCUUGUACAUUUUGCCGCCAGGAAUGCAAUAUCGGUUUUUUUGCAUAAUUUUGUAAAAAUAAAAUUAAGCGACAAGACAUCAGAUGUUCUUUGUUUUAUUUAAUCCAACUCGUUCGGGAAAACGGACCAAUCUCAC